rnacentral:rRNA from 1 species
UACGGGGGGGGCAAGCGUUGUUCGGAAUUACUGGGCGUAAAGGGCUCGUAGGCGGCCAACUAAGUCAGACGUGAAAUCCCUCGGCUUAACCGGGGAACUGCGUCUGAUACUGGAUGGCUGGAGUCCGGAAGAGGCGAGUGGAAUUCCUGGUGUAGCGGUGAAAUGCGCAGAUAUCAGGAGGAACACCAAUGGCGAAGGCAGCUCGCUGGGACGGUACUGACGCUGAGACGCGAAAGCGUGGGGAGCAAACAGG